AGAAAUAUGUCUGACAAAAGAGUUACUUUGAUAGAGUAAAACWUAGRGGUUUAAACCCCCUUAUUUCUA
rnacentral:tRNA from 1 species